UUGAUGACGACCGGGCACGGGUGCGUAACGCGUAUAGAAUCUACCUUUUGCUGAGGAAUAGCCCAGAGAAAUUUGGAUUAAUGCCUCAUANUAUGUUUUUAUCUCAUGAUGAUAACAUUAAAGGUUACGGCAAAAGAUGACUAUGCGUCCUAUUAGCUANAUGGNAAGGUAACGGCUUACCAUGGNAACGAUAGGUAGGGGCCCUGANAGGGGGAUCCCCCNCNCUGGUACUGAGACACGGACCANACUCCUACGGGAGGCAGCANUGAGGAAUAUUGGACAAUGGAGGCAACUCUGAUCCAGCCAUGCCGCGUGCAGGAAGACUGCCCUAUGGGUUGUAAACUGCUUUUAUACNGGAAGAAACCGCUCUACGUGUANAGCUCUGACGGUACUGUAAGAAUAAGGAUCGGCUAACUCCGUGCCANCAGCCGCGGUAAUACGGAGGAUCCAAGCGUUAUCCGGAAUCAUUGGGUUUAAAGGGUCCGUAGGUGGAUAAUUAAGUCAGAGGUGAAAGUUUGCAGCUCANCUGUAAAAUUGCCUUUGAUACUGGUUAUCUUGAAUCAUUAUGAA
rnacentral:rRNA from 1 species